rnacentral:rRNA from 1 species
AGAGUUUGAUCAUGGCUCAGGACGAACGCUGGCGGCGCGCUCAACACAUGCAAGUCGAGCGAGAACCGAAGCCUUCGGGCCUCGGGGAAAGCGGCGAACGGGUGAGUAACACGUGGGUAACCCACCCUUGGUACUGGGAUAGCCCGGGGAAACCCGGAUUAAUACCGGAUGGCCCAACAGCUCUUCGGGGCGGUUGGAAAGGGUAGCUUCGGCCUCCGACCAAGGACGGGCCCGCGGCGGAUUAGCUUGUUGGUGGGGUAACGGCCUACCAAGGCGACGAUCCGUAGCUGGUCUGAGAGGACGAUCAGCCACACUGGGACUGAGACACGGCCCAGACUCCUACGGGAGGCAGCAGUGGGGAAUCUUGCGCAAUGGGCGAAAGCCUGAUCGAGCGACGCCGCGUGGUUGAUGAAGUCCUUCGGGACGUAAAAACCUUUUAUGAGCCACUAAGUCUAUUGAAGAGCUCAUGAAUAAGAGGUUGCUAAACUCGUGCCAGCCGCCGCGGUAAUAC